rnacentral:lncRNA from 1 species
AUGGAUGGAAUAAUUAAGCCACUGCUCUCGGCAGGUUCACAGAGGCCUGUGCUGCCAGCAGCUAAACUGGGGACAGAUCUGGGACAGUCACUGUCACCUCCCAACCCCAGCAUCUCACACCUGUCCCUGGGGUGUGGAGAUUCCACCAGCAGCCAGGGCAGCUGCCUAUGCAGGUCAAUAAGAUUACCCUACUCUUGUGAUGUCAUAAAAACCUUGCCCAAUCCCAGGAGAGCCCUCUCCGAAGCUCCACCCAUUGGGGGUGUGACCACUUCCCUGGUGUUGAUGGCCCUGGCUUCUUGGGGUGAACAAGACAGUGACAUGAUGAUGGGAAGACUGAGCCACGGAGCUUCCCACCAGUUCCCCAGGGCCUGUCCCAGCGGUGGUGGACACCAAGCCGAUAGAAGCAAGGAGGUGCCUCCACCUUCCUUGGGAAAAGAUCCGGACCCUCCUCGCCUUCCUGCCCCACCCAUCCCCGUCACUAUGGCAACCACGCAGGCACCUGCAGGCCAUAGAUUUAUUUGACUCUGAGGACAACCCACCUCCUGGAAAGCAAACUGAGGCUCAGAGAAACCAUGUGGUUCGCCAGCAAGGAAUUAUAGAGAGGCUUCUUUGACCUGUCUGGCUGCAGAGCGGGGCUCUUUCUAUGAGACCUGGAGAGCAUUAAGCAUCACCAAAUGGCAAGGACCUUGGAUGCCAACAUUUGGACAGUGUUGCAGGAAUUAGCUGGCCCAUUAAAUUCAGGGCAAGAAGCAUAAGAGUCCAACCUGGGCACUGUAUGAUAAGAAGCCCAAUCCAGGUGAGCAGCUAGCUGUUGUGAACUCCUAUGUGCCAAACAACAUGGCAUCAACAUCUGGCAGAUGGCAGCGCUGGAGCCCAGAUGGGGAAACAGGCUGGAAUCGGCUGGCAGAAGGUCCCCAGUGAUGGACUGAGAUUCUUGACCUAGGGUCCUUGAAGCUUCUUGGUGGACUUCAGUGGCCUGAGAGUCCCCUAAAAUUGCAGAAAACAUUUUGGCUGGACAUGAAUUACUGCUCUAGUACAUUUCUCUCAUCUUCCCCCACAUCCCUAUUUUAUAGAAGGGAAAACUGAGGGGCACCAUGAUUUGCCCAAAGUUCUAUAGCAAUUCAGAGUAAGAACCACAGAUUCAAGGAGGGAGAAUUCUUCCAGAGGUGCCCAGGGCAGUCAAGUAGGGUGGACAGGCUGUUCAAUGCAUAACCCCAGGGGACAUUCUUAAGGACAAAGGUGUGGAUGGCAGCCUCCCAACUUCAGGUCCUGCCAGAUCAAGGGAGGUAUCUUGUUCUCCUUGUAGCCCCCGAAGCCCCCAACCUCCUAGGAAACCCAGCCUCCCACCCUGCUAAGAGGAAUCUCUCCAGGUCCCUCCCAGGGAACGUUUCUGCUGGCUGGGCCGCCAGCAUGUGUGAGA